GGACCCGCACAAGCAGUGGAGCAUGUGGUUUAAUUCGAAGAUACGCGCAGAACCUUACCAACGCUUGACAUGUUCGUCGCGAGACUAAGAGAUUAGUUUCUUCAGUUCGGCUGGACGAAACACAGGUGCUGCAUGGCUGUCGUCAGCUCGUGUCGUGAGAUGUUGGGUUAAGUCCCGCAACGAGCGCAACCCCCUACUUUUAGUUGCCACCAUUUAGUUGGGCACUUUAAAAGAACUGCCAGUGAUAAGCUGGAGGAAGGUGGGGAUGACGUCAAGUCCUCAUGGCCCUUAUGUGUUGGGCUACACACGUGCUACAAUGGCACUUACAAUGGGAUGCAAAGAGGUGACUCUUAGCUAAUCCCAAAAAUGUGUCUCAGUUCGGAUUGUACUCUGUAACUCGAGUGCAUGAAGCUGGAAUUGCUAGUAAUCGC
rnacentral:rRNA from 1 species